rnacentral:rRNA from 1 species
UUAAGAAUCUUGCACAAUGGGCGCAAGCCUGAUGCAGCGACGCCGCGUGGAUGAUGAAGGCCUUCGGGUUGUAAAGUCCGGUAAGCAGGGAAGAAUAAGCGCCGGGUAAUAUUCGGUGUGAUGACGGUACCUGCCUAAAGCCCCGGCUAACUACGUGCCAGCAGCCGCGGUAAUACGUAUGGGGCGAGCGUUGUUCGGACUUAUUGGGCGUAAAGGGCGUCUAGGCGGGGAUUUAAGUUAGGUGUGAAAGCUAUGGGCGCAACCCAUAAACUGCACCUAAAACUGAAGCUCUGGAGUGCGGGAGAGGAGAGCGGAAUGCCAGGUGUAGCGGUGAAAUGCGUAGAUAUCUGGAAGAACACCAGUGGCGAAGGCGGCUCUCUGGCCUAGGACUGACGCUGAAGCGCGAAAGCGUGGGGAGCGAACA